AUGAACGCUAGCGACAGGCCUAACACAUGCAAGUCGAGGGGCAGCACAAGGAGCAAUCUGAGGUGGCGACCGGCGCACGGGUGAGUAACACGUAUGCAACCUGCCUGUAAGCGGGGAAUAACCCGUUGAAAGACGGACUAAUACCGCAUAAUACUAAAUUACUGCAUGGUAAUUUAUUUAAACAUUUUAUGGCUUACAGAUGGGCAUGCGCAUGAUUAGCUAGUUGGAGAGGUAACGGCUCCCCAAGGCAACGAUCAUUAGGGGUUCUGAGAGGAAGGUCCCCCCACGCUGGUACUGAGACACGGACCAGACUCCUACGGGAGGCAGCAGUGAGGAAUAUUGGUCAAUGGACGAGAGUCUGAACCAGCCAAGUCGCGUGCGAGGAAGAAUGUCCCUAUGGAUUGUAAACUGCUUUUGCAGGGGAAUAAAGUGCAUCACGUGUGAUGUUUUGUAUGUACUCUGCGAAUAAGGAUCCGGCUAACUCCGUGCCAGCCGCCGC
rnacentral:rRNA from 1 species